GCUAAAAACCAGCAACGUUUCGUUCAGUUUAAGUGAGGGCUUCUCAUGAUACGAUUUCUGAAUAAUUUACGUAUGUUUCAUAUUUAAAUAAAGCUGACUUCUCAUAUCUUUCAUCAUAGAAAUAACCAUAUUGGUUUAUUUCUCUUCCUCGGGCUCUGGAAUAUUUUAUCAUAUCCUCUGCAGGUGAGACCCGCUUUGCUAACUGAGUCAUAGUAAAUUCCCACCCUACCAAUAAUUAAUUUAUGGAAGUGUUGGAUUUGUAAGAUGAUCAAAAUUUAUAUUGGUAAGCAGCAUGUACGGGCAGGAGUUUUUAUACCACAAGUGUAUAUGCCUCUCAGAAGGUUCUCUUAGAGGUUCAUCUCAACAAUAUUCGUAGGCAUUUCAACAUAUGAAGUGAAAAACCCCAAAGUUCAUGUCAACAAUUGAUUUGCAAAGGUAUUUGGUUUGUGUCAGCUUGGUUCAUGAAUAUUGCAACCAUUACACAAAGUACAUGGUGUCAUCGAACAAGAAAGAAAGCUUCUUAUGACCUCCAAAGUUUAAUAUAUAAAAAAGCGGCAGAGAGGUAACUUACUGCAGCUAUACCAUCUUGCUGUCAAAAUACUUGGCAUUAAACUGAGAACCCUCUAGCGCCAUUCCACCACCCAGGAUAGCCAAAAGCUGGUAGAUACGAAAAAAACUUGGAAAUUAUGUAUCACAGUUG
rnacentral:lncRNA from 1 species